GACGUAGGGCGCGAGCGUUGUCCGGAUUUAUUGGGCGUAAAGAGCUCGUAGGCGGCUUGUUGCGUCGACCGUGAAAACCCGGGGCUCAACUUCGGGCUUGCGGUCGAUACGGGCAUCACUGGAGUUCGGCAGGGGAGACUGGAAUUCCUGGUGUAGCGGUGAAAUGCGCAGAUAUCAGGAGGAACACCGGUGGCGAAGGCGGGUCUCUGGGCCGAUACUGACGCUGAGGAGCGAAAGCGUGGGGAGCAAACAGG
rnacentral:rRNA from 1 species